UCCCUUAAACACUUCUCGACCUCCAGCUGGACCCUGUCCUCAGCCAAUUUAACUUCUUCAAGCAGAGCUGAGCACCUCGUCUCCAAGGAUUCGACUUGUUGGCAGAGUUGCUGAUUCUGAAGUUUGGACUCCUCUGCCACCAAAGUCAAGCCCUUAACACUAUCAGCUUGUUUGCUUAGCUCCUGCUUCAGGACCACAACCCGAGCUACGGCUUCACUCUUUUGAGCCAGAACGGCAUCAAAUUUUACCUUCAGCUGCUCGUACUGGCGCUG
rnacentral:lncRNA from 1 species